GGGAGGGGGCCGGCAGCGCUGCCUUCCCGGGAUUGGUCCCCGAGCCUCGCCAAGGAGGCGCGCCCUGCGCGGGGUGCGGGGAGCUGCUCGGCGGAAGCGGAAGCGGUGCGCGCCCCGCGUCUCCCCGCGGCCACCUGGGAGCCCCGCGAGUGCACCCCCGCGGUGACCAGGGUGCUCGGCAAGGGCCCCCCCCCGCGGUCACCCGGGAGCCCCGCGCGCGCACCUACGGACCCCGGACAGUCCCGCGCGCGCACCCCCAAGGCCACCUGGGAGCCCCGCGGGCGGGCGGGCGCACCCCGCCGCGACCUCAGCCCGCAGCGCGCCCCUCCCCUCCCCGCGGGCGCAGAGGCGCAGCCCGGCCCACCCCUCCAGCCGCUCGACUCUCUGCCCUCCCCGCAGAGACAGGGGAAGCUCCGGGCGCGAGCACGGGAACCUGCCCGCCGUUACCUCCGGCCGCCCCCAGGCAGGUGCAGAGGCCGCAGCAGCCGAGCGCGCCCUCCCCGCGCCGCCCAUGCUCUACUGAGGACAGUUGAGAUACGAAGAGCCACACUGUUACCGUGUACGGUGCGAUGAGCCUGGACCUGCGAGAGCACCGAGAGCCCCUCCACAAUCAAGGGAACAGAUGAAGCCCUCACCCCGAGCUGCCUGCACCCCCCUCACUUAACGUGAGACCUGCCCUCCUGACGCGGUUUCAGGUGCACAGCACAGGGCUCUCAACCAGGGCGCUGUGCCGUCAGCAGCUGUGGAGCACCCUCGUCUCCGUAACCGAGACUCCACGCCCGCUGAGCCGCCCCUGCAGCCCCUGGCCCGCCUGCUCCUCUGGGUCUGACUAUUCAGAGCUCAGCCCUUGCAGCCUUUGCCCCUCUGCCUGCUCACGUCAGUCGGCGUCAUGUCCUCCAGAUUCUUCCCACCCAACAAUCCACAAAAGACCCGAAGGUCCAGAGGAGGGGGUCACAGGCACUCAGGCUCUGCACAGGCUCGGGGGCUGGUACGUGGGCCGUGGGCCUCCUGUCUCUCCCCGGGGACGUGGUCAGUGGAAAAGAUGACGCAGGGGCGCCUUGGCGCUGAGACCUCCAGGAAGGGACCGGGAAGCCGGGCAUGUGUGUGAAUCGUACACAGUGACACCAGCGUUGCCGGGGGCAGUGGG